AGUGAACGCUGGCGGUAGGCCUAACACAUGCAAGUCGAACGGCAGCACAGUAAGAGCUUGCUCUUACGGGUGGCGAGUGGCGGACGGGUGAGGAAUACAUCGGAAUCUACUUUUUCGUGGGGGAUAACGUAGGGAAACUUACGCUAAUACCGCAUACGACCUACGGGUGAAAGCAGGGGAUCUUCGGACCUUGCGCGAUUGAAUGAGCCGAUGUCGGAUUAGCUAGUUGGCGGGGUAAAGGCCCACCAAGGCGACGAUCCGUAGCUGGUCUGAGAGGAUGAUCAGCCACACUGGAAGUGAGACACGGUCCAGACGCCUGCGCGAGGCAGCAGUGGGGAAUAUUGGACAAGGGGCGCGAGCCUGAUCCAGCCAUACCGCGUGGGUGAAGAAGGCCUUCGGGUUGUAAAGCCCUUUUGUUGGGAAAGAAAAGCAGCAGGUUAAUACCCCGCUGUUCUGACGGUACCCAAAGAAUAAGCACCGGCUAACUUCGUG
rnacentral:rRNA from 1 species